AUGUGUCUGAACUUCAGAGAAGAAAGUCACUUAGAAGCAAUAAAGAAACUGGGCAUAGUACAGUCGCAGGGAACAACAGGUAAGCGAGAUGGAGAGAGGAUGGACCUGGGGGGCGUCGAUAUGCUGGACGAUGGGUUGGAUUGGAAUCCAGGCGACAUGGUGGACCGCGUUGGCUGGCGACAAUUUGCAGGUACACAAUCCGCUUUCCACAAAAGCAACUUUUGUUUAACGAAAAGAGAGACAAAUCAAAGCAACUUCUUUAUGGUCUGCUCUCACCUAUUGUGCUUAACGAUGAUGAUGGUAUCUGCAUUUUUCUUCUGGCUUCAGGCGCACGUAUGCAAGACCAGCUCACUAUGCGCGACAUUCCUCGUGAAUAUAGACAAUCAGUCUGACAAGACUGUCACCUUCAACGGCAAGGUGUAUAAACUCCCUGCAUGGUCCGUCAGCAUCCUUCCUGACUGCAAGAAUGUGGUACUGAACACUGCCCAGGUAUGUGCAUUGUCUUGCUCAAGACAAAGAAGCCGUGUUUCUGGAACCAAUCUUGACCUUGGAUCUGAUUUUGGUCAAGAUAAUGGAUGGAGGAACUUGUCCGUGUUGGACGGCGGGUUGGAUUGGAAUCCAGGCGACGUGGUGGACCGCGUUGGCCGACGAAGUUGA
rnacentral:rRNA from 1 species